GGCUCGGCAGCCGGAGCCGCUCCCGGUGCGGUCGGUGUCCCUCGGCGCGCUGCCUCCCGGUACCGCAGGGCUGUACGUGCACAAGGCUUUGACCUCCUGCUCGCCUCUCUGCUCUCUUGCAGAGGUGCUCGGGGACAGGCGUGACACGGAGGAUUUUAGUCCAGGAAACUUCCAUGCUAGAAUAUUUUCACCUCCAGUUCAUCAAUCAGCAAUAUCUGAUGCUUCAAAGACUCGAGCAGCUCUUUCUACCUUGAAUUGUCACACAAGACGUCUUCAGCACUCUUUGACCAUGGAUUUCUCCUGGAUCUGUGCAGCACGAGCUCAGCAGAGCCUGCUCUAGCCUAAGAACGG
rnacentral:lncRNA from 1 species